rnacentral:misc_RNA from 1 species
GAUGAAGAACGUAGCGAAAUGCGAUAAGUAGUGUGAAUUGCAGAAUUCAGUGAAUCAUCGAAUCUUUGAACGCACAUUGCGCCCCUUGGUAUCCCGAGGGGCAUGCCUGUUCGAGCGUCAUUUCACCACUCAAGCCUGGCUUGGUGUUGGGUGACGUCCCCUUUGGGGACGCGCCUCGAAACGCUCGGCGGCGUGGCACCGGCUUUAAGCGUAGCAGAAUCUUUCGCUUUGGAAGUCGGGGCCCCGUCUGCCGGAAGACCUACUCGCAAGGUUGACCUCGGAUCAGGCAGGGAUACCCGCUGAACUUAAGCAUAUCAAUAAGCGGAGGA